rnacentral:lncRNA from 1 species
UUUAAAGGGACACUAGCUGUCAAAUUCAUGGUCACCGAUUUGACUCAAAUUCUCGUAUUUGAUUUAUAACAAUGUAAAACAUUUAUCCAAACUAUUAAAAGUCUAAAAUAAACAGUUUACAGAGCAUGGGGUAGAUAAUAUAUAGGUUCGUUUCGUGUGUAUUUUAGUCCAGACGCCAUCUAAUUAACUAUCAAUUUGACCUCAGAUAACCAUAUAAGC